UACAGAGGGUGCGAGCGUUGUCCGGAAUCACUGGGCGUAAAGGGCGCGUAGGCGGUCUGGUAAGCGUGUGGUGAAAGCUCGGGGCUCAACCCCGAGUCGGCCGUGCGAACUGCUGGACUGGAGCAUGUCAGAGGCAGGCGGAAUUCUCGGUGUAGCGGUGAAAUGCGUAGAUAUCGAGAGGAACACCUGCGGCGAAGGCGGGUUGCUGGGCUGAUACUGACGCUGAGGCGCGAAAGCCAGGGGAGCGAACGGG
rnacentral:rRNA from 1 species